GGGACAACCGUUUUCCAGAAGGUGAUGAGAAACUAGCGGUGUGAAUCCCACACCUCGUCCUGGAUCCAAAGCCUGGCAACGUCCGAAGACCGUAAUCUUGGACUGAAUGUGCACUCACCCAGCAGAGACAGCAAAUUAUAUCCUCAGGGAAUCUUCCCUCAGGAGGGCCAUGGUUUUGUGGGCAUAUUCUUUCCACGGUGAAGAAAUAAAAGUGAAUCUAGGGGUAAACCACUUUGCUUGGUGCACGUUCACAAAGCCUGAUCUCUGCCGCGAAGAUGGGCACGUAAGGCUUGUUAAGUGAAUGUUAAUAACCAGGUGCUCGGACCUUCUUAGAGGGCUGGUUAUCUCCCGUUUCAGUCAUUAGUGGCCCGUGGGAAUAGUGGCUCCAUAAAACCUUGUGUAUUUUCUUUCGAGAUUUCUCUGUCAGGCUUAUGGCGAGGCAUACCCAGAAAUGAUGCACGUGGGGGACUUUGACAUCACACACAUCCGUCCCGGGAGCCGGGAGUGGCCUCGCCCUUCAGAGAGCAGUGUCACCUCCGCAGGAUGCCGGCUGCUUAUGCGGAGGCUGUGGCACGAGGAGAUGGCAGGAGACUCACCGUCGACGUCGGGACAAGCAGAGUCUAGAACCGCUCCCACUCCAUGCCCAGUGUUGCUCUACUCUGGGCAGCGUGAGACAGCGACACCACUUUGAGCCAUUUGGAUCGGGCGGCCUGUGGCUUGCGGCCAAAUACGUCCUCAGGGAGACAAGGCUCACGUGCCCAGGCGACCCAGAACCCAGACUCAGGAGACCUGAGUUGAUUCCAGUCCCAGCUCCCCCGGAAAUUUAACCCGAUGUCACUCUCUUCACCUGCACAGCGUGGAGCGAGAAAAUGGAUCCGCUUUGCGGCGCAGUUAACUCUAUGGGAAACAACGAUAAUUGCCCUGGAACCGAACACCAGCCUCCCCUUGCGCUCACUGAUAACGAUGCAAAUUCUCCUGCUUGCCUAUAAUGUGGCUCAGAACAAAAAUGCCUUUUCUGGUCCGUGCUGGGAAUAAUUCCUGAAACUCAGUAAGUCUUAACACGCCCCCAGCUCCUCUCGCCAGGGGGGUAGAAUUCAUCCCACGGAGAGUCAGUGACGACAGCCCCCCGGGGUGGGGGUCCAGCCAGCAGGUCUCAUCGGGGGCUGGGGCUUCUAACUUAGCUGUGGAACCCUGAAAUGUUUCCAAGUUGAAUUAUAUAGAAAUCGAGGCCCCUCAGGACUGUUGUUCUCCUAGUCUGGUACAGAAGCAAAGGCCGCUUCCAGGGUAGAGGGGUCUCCUUUGGGGGUGAAUCAACGUCCUCAAAACACGCAGAAAACCCCGUUUGUCUGAACAAGGACCACAGAGUCUGGUGAAAAAAGAUGCCUGCCCACAAGCCCCCCUCCCCAAACUGGCCUUCGUUGCCUUGAAGAGAUAACCAAGUAAGAUAAGUGCUAAAGGGGAAAAGAAGUCUUGGUCUCAUGUUUCGGGUAUUCAGAGACAAAGUGCAAUUGUCAGAGGCAUGAGAAACCGGCCAUGGGUGCGGGGAGUCACAAGCCAAAUGGGGGUGGGGACAAUUUAUCUUGUCAGGAAGUCGGCAUGUGAAGCAGGAGCAGGGCAAGGGGCGGACGGGGGUCCCUCUGGACCCUCAUACGUAGCAGACCCCGGGAUUCUUUCAUUUCCAACCAGGCUGACUUCGGUCCUGCCAUUCUGCAGAAAGCCGGCCAGAUCAGGUCAGUUUCUUUCCCUGGCUCGCACAAGGAAGCUGUGAGGUAAGAGUCCUCUCUCUGAGCCCUUCUCUGCCUCGUCCAGAGCUGGCACGGCCAGAACCGGCAAGGUCUAGGGCAUGGGCACGUCUCCGGGGCUGGCCUCAGCUCCCGAGCCCCGUGGGCUCACUCUCCAGCUAGCAGGCCAACUGUUCGGGGCUGGGGAGUAGUGGGUAGGUCUGGGCUUCCAGAGACCGACUUCUCGAGAGGCGGGACAACCUCGCCGAGCGACUGAUCCUAUCUGGCUGUGAAGGUCAUCAGAAAGAGGGACGGGCUCCGCGCUUUGACCUGCAGGUUGGGCCCGUGGUGUCCUUUGGGGAGGCAGGAAGAACGUAGCCAACGGCACGCAGGAGGCAGAGACCUGCCUUCUCUCUUAACCAUGUGGCCUUAGUCAACUUCUGAUAGGGCAAAGAUAGGAUAAAUUUGGCAGAGAGGGAAAGGUUAGGACCUGAGGUCCCCGGGUGGGGAAAAACACACAUUUUGGAACAAUGCUGGGAGUGUCUGACCACAGCAAGCCCCCUUAGGCCUUGCGGUUCCUCUUGAGAAUGUAGCAGGCACCUACCCACCCCCCCUCGGGUUUCCCUCAGGAAUCCGACCAUCAAAAUACCUGACUAAAAUAGGUGAACCAUAAAACUCACGUUAUAGGAGGGACAGUAUGACCACCGGCCGGUUUCUCACACAAUGGAGCCGAGCCAAUCAGGAGUGGAUGACCCAGCACCGAGAGCUAUCUAGCCAAGAAGGUUGGACCUGAGAAGGAACGAGGUGAAGGCAAGCGGGGGUGACCAGAACCCUAGAAAACAAAGACCCUUGCCUACAGUCGGGAGCGUUCACCUUUGAACACCCCCUCUCUGCAAAGAGAGAGCUUUCCCACUAUUCUUACUUUCGUAUAUUCUGAUUAACCUCUGUCUGCUGCUCAUUUAAUUCUGUCCUCUUCUUCACUCUUCGACACGGAGAGACAACGAACCCAGGGUAUCGAGGUAAAAAAAAAAAAAAAUCCUUC